GUCCCAAGGGUAUGGCUGUUCGCCAUUUAAAGAGGUACGUGAGCUGGGUUUAAAACGUCGUGAGACAGUUUGGUCCCUAUCUUCCGUGGGCGCUGCAGAUUUGAGGAAGCCUGCUCCUAGUACGAGAGGACCGGAGUGGACACACCUCUGGUGUAUCGGUUGUCACGCCAGUGGCAUUGCCGAGUAGCUAUGUGUGGAAGAGAUAACCGCUGAAAGCAUCUAAGCGGGAAACUCGUUUCAAGAUGAGAUCUGCCGGGGCCUUGAGCCCCCUAAAGAGUCGUUCAAGACCAGGACGUUGAUAGGUCGGGUGUGUACGCGUAGUAAUGCGCUUAGCUAACCGAUACUAAUUGCUCGUGCGGCUUGUCCCU
rnacentral:rRNA from 1 species